CAAAAAAAAAUCAAAAAGAAAGAAAAA
rnacentral:sRNA from 1 species